AUUGAACGCUGGCGGCAGGCCUAACACAUGCAAGUCGAACGAGUGGCGGACGGGUGAGUAAUGUCUGGGAACCUGCCCGAUGGAGGGGGAUAACUACUGGAAACGGUAGCUACUACCGCAUACCAUCGGAUGUGCCCAGAUGGGAUUAGCUAGUCGGGGGGGGAAUGGCGCACCUAGGCGACGAUCCCUAGCUGGUCUGAGAGGAUGACCAGCCACACUGGGACUGAGACACGGCCCAGACUCCUACGGGAGGCAGCAGUGGGGAAGAGUGAGCAAUGGGCGAAAGCCUGAUGCAGCAAUGCCGCGGGUAUGAAGAAGGCCUUCGGGUUGUAAAGUACUUUCAGCGGGGAGGCGUUACCCGCAGAAGAAGCACCGGCUAACUCCGUGCCAGCAGCCGCGGUAAUAC
rnacentral:rRNA from 1 species